rnacentral:rRNA from 1 species
UACGUAGGGGGCAAUCGUUGUCCGGAAUUAUUGGGCGUAAAGCGCGCGCAGGCGGUUCCUUAAGUCUGAUGUGAAAGCCCACGGCUCAACCGUGGAGGGUCAUUGGAAACUGGGGAACUUGAGGACAGAAGAGGAGAGUGGAAUUCCACGUGUAGCGGUGAAAUGCGUAGAUAUGUGGAGGAACACCAGUGGCGAAGGCGACUCUCUGGUCUGUUUCUGACGCUGAGGUGCGAAAGCGUGGGUAGAAAACAGG